GGAAGUCAGUUCACUUGGAGAGGCCCGCAUGUACGUGCCCUGUUUGUCUAUCCCGGCCUUCAGUCUUCCCAGCCUAGGUACCAGACGUGUGAGUGGAUGAGCCUGUGGAUAAUUUCAGCCCUCAGCUGUUGAGUGCCCUGGCCUGUGACUCUUCCUAGCUGGGGCCGCAGACCAUCAUGGAAUCGAUACAAGCCAUUGUGUCUGUCAUGUCUGAAUUCUUGACCUGUGGACUCUAUUAGCAUCACUAAAUGGUUCAUAAAAAGCAGCUACAUUUCGGGGUAAUUUGUUACAUGGCAAUGGUAAGUGAAACAGAGGCUGUAUGGCCCCGUUUUGGAUCCCUUAUCUCCUGUUCUGUUGCACUCUCUGGAACUCGUUUAUCCUCAGCAACAUCCUUUAUAUCCUCAGCCUCCCCUGGAACUUCCCCUUCCCUUUCUCAAUCUAACUGAAACAUGGCUCUUCCAUUGCUUCCUUUGUGUCCUCUCAGGCGGUCCUACUCCUGGAGGAGGGACAGAAGGUCCUUUCCGUUCUUCUUUGCUGUUUCCAGUCAGUUUUCUUCCCCUCCUUUCUGAAAAUUUGUAAUUUUGAAUCUCGUGCUGUAGCACCCUACAAGCAACUGCUCCUCUCUGUUGUGGUCACUUCUCUGCGGUAUGUGACCAUUUUAACUUCUGGCUCACUGCCACUUGUUCCAAUGUGGCUUCUGUCAUAAUUCUUAUGACUUCAAUAUUCAUAUAAAUGGUCCCUCCAGUUUCUUGGUUUGCUUCUCCAUCCUGUGUCUUUCUGUCUUUCGGUUGUUCUAUCCAACGCUACCUCAGUUGCUCGCUUCUGUGACCACAUUCUACACCAGCAGUUUUCAAAGUAAGGUCCAGGGGCCCCUUGGGGCUGCAAGCCAUUUUCAGAGGGUCUGUUAGGUCAAAACUGUUGCCACAAUAAUACUAAGACAUUAUUUGCCUUUUUAAUAUCUUUGUCUUGGGAAAGCUUUCCAGAAAGCUGCAUGAUGUGAUGAAUAUCUUCAUUCUGGCCACUAAUGGAAUACAUACUUGUAUAUUCUUGUGUUUAAAAAUUUUUGUUUUAAUAUUGAUAUUGUAAAUAUUAGUAGACAUACCUUGCAUAACCAAAAACUUUUUUAAGGUCCUCACUAGUUUCUGGGAAUGUAAAGCCACGCUGAGACCAACAUGUUUGAGAAUGGCUGCCCCGAUACUUGUUACUAAUGACUGCACCCUCCAUUAUCUCAUUCUGCUCUCCAGUUGGCACCUGUCUUUCUGUAAUCCUGACUCCAACGGACUUCAAUUCCAGUAGGGCCUAAAAUCCAUCGGCUCUCCCCUCUUUAUACGUACUGUCAACACUCCUCUCAGGUCUUCAUUUCCCUUCUUUCCAGCUUGACUUUCCAUUAUAUCGUAUAAUCAGUCUUUUAGGAGGAUUCUUAAUUCGCUCAUGCCUCUCUCAUCUGGUAGGACUCAUCUGGAAAACCCGGUGAAACUCCCUACCACUCUAGUUUACUUCUGUAAAAUUUAAUGUGGUUGGAGAAAAACACUCAGCCAAGCUGACUGCUUUCACCUUAAUUCUGUGAUCACUGAUCCCCAACGGGCCCUUAGUGCUGCUAGGUUAUCAGGCUGCAUUAUCUUGGUCAAUUCAUUCAUGCCUCUGCUCUCCCAGAUGACUGAUACCUCCCACUCUUCCCUGUUUCCUCGAACCUUCAACACCUCCUCUUCCAUUCUCACCCUCAGCUGAAAACUCUGCUUCCUAUUUCACUUAGAAAACAGAAGCAAUUAGAAGAGCAUUUCUGUUUGCCUCUCUGCCCGUAUAUUUUGUCUUCACUCUUGUUACUAUGGUUGAACUGUGUGCUCCUGUGCAAGGCCGGCUCUCUACUUGUACACACGAUCCCAUUCCCUCUUGCCCACUCCAGAACAUGGCUCCAACAUAUUCUCCCCCCCUCUCCAGCAUCAUCAGUCUCCCCCUCUGCUGGAUUAUUGCCAUUAUGCAUACAUCCGUGGUAUUAUUUCACCUACUUUUUCACCUCUUUUGACUACAAUUUUCUGUUCCCCUUACUAGUGAAAUCCCUUGAGAGAUGUUCCUAUGUUCACUCUGUAAUAUUUCUUUUUUCAUUCUCUCUUGAACCUUGUCCAGUCCAAUUUUUGUGCCCUAUUCUAUCUUCUACCAAGCAAGCCAAUGACCUCCAUAUUGUUAAGCCUGGUGGCCAAUUCUCAAUCACCUAUCUCCUGACCAGUCAACAGAAUUUGACAUCAUUAACUACUCCCCUCUGGAAACACUUCAUUCAUGUGGUCACUGGUCCAUCACAUUGUCCUACUUUUCCUCGUCCCUCAUCAGCUACUCCUCUUGGUCUCUUCUGGUGUUUUUUCCUUGGAUCCCUGACAUCUAAAUAGUGGAGUGCAUUAGGUUUUGGUCCUUGUGCCUCCUGUUCUUUUGUGCUCCCCUCCAGUCUUACUGAUAUGCUGGUGCUUCCCCCGUUUGUAUCUCCAGCCUAUUCCUUUCUUUUAAUCCAAGGCUUCUGGAUUCCUUGAUUUUCAACAGUUCCUUUGGACUGUCUGACAGGCAGGCAUCUUACACCUAAUAUACCUAAAAUCAAGUUCCUGACUUUCUCCCUCAAACCUAUGCCUCAUUUUGUUUCUGUCUUACUGCUUGUUCAUGGCAAAGCCCCUGGUAUCUUCCUGGAUUCCUCUGCUUCUUCAUAUCUCACCUCCAGGGUGUUAGAUCCUGGAUCCUAUGUGUGGAAUCCUGUUGAUUCCAUCUUCAAAAUAUAUCUAGAAGUCUGAUUGUCAUCACCUACCUCUACCACGUCCAAUUCAGCUACCAGCAUCUGUAUUAGCUAGAUUACCACAUUUUCCUCCUAACUGGUUUUCCGUUUGUCCCCUUGUCCUUUGUUCUUACAACAGUUUUCUGUAGAACGGCCAGAGUGAUCAUUUAAAAACAUGUCAGGUCUGCUCAAAACACUUUAAUGGUGGCCCAUCUCACCCAGAGUAAAAGCCAAAGUAGAAGGCCUUAAUAACGAGGCCCUGUAUAAUCUCUGUUACCAAUUUAUCCUUAUUUCUCUGUCCUAGCCCCCCCUCAUUUAAUCUACUGCAGUCAGACUGGGCUUAGCAACACCCAGUUUACUCCUAUCUCAGGGUCCUUCUUUGUACUCACUCUUCUCUUUGCUUGUAAGACUUCCUUUCUCACCUUCUUCAAAUUUUUGUGUAAAUGUCACUUUCUUAGUGAGGUCUUCCCUUACUAGCUUAUUUGAAAUCACAACCUCCUCAACACUUUCUCUUUCUUGCUUUAAUUUGUUCCUUAGGACCAUAUGACAUACCACUUAUUUUACUUAUUUAUUUGUAUAUUGUGUAUGCCUAGUGUUUAUUGUUACUGGAAGCUCCCUGAGGGCAAGUAUUUUUGUCUGAUUUAUUACUGCUAUAUCCCUAACACACAGAGAAUACUUGGUUCAUAGUAGGUUCUCAAUUGAGUUUCCAAGUCAGUGGUACUCAGAGAGCAGGAGAAAUGAUUUUUGGAUGAUAGAGUAGUGAAGUUCACAUGUAGGUUUCAUAUUGCUUUUCAGGGUUUAUCUUUGAACUUGAAGCACUUUGAUUCUGGCAGAAGAUUCUUCUUCCCCUAGAUUUUCAUACCGCCUCAUUCCUGGUCUGCCCUAUGGGGUUGAAGAAUUGGGAGAUCUAAAUAGACUACUCCCACCUCAAGAAAGGUAGCUGGCAGGUGAGCAGGGAGAUUCUCUUCUAUCACUGGCAAUCCAUGGACUGGCCUUUGAAAAAGUGCUCUUUCACGUUUAAGACUACAAAUAUUUUCUGCUAAGAUAUACCUCUGUUGAUGAUAUACUAGAUGUGUUAAAGCGGAAAAAUGAUAGAGGAAUGUUUUACAGUGGAAAUCUUUUUCCUGAUACUCUGAAAUACGAUGGUUACAUCAGUGCCUGUGUGAUAGUCUUAUUUGUGUCCACCCUGCCCCCCAUGGCGCAGGGCUCCGUGUGGAUACUUAAUAUUUUGUUAAAUGAAUGAGUAAAGGGAACAAGAUGAGUUGGCAUUAUGAAAAAUCAUGGUGGGAAAGAGAUAGGCCUAUCUUUUCCCCUCUAUCCAGAGGCAAAAGCUACAUAAAAGUGAAGAGUACAGUAUAUCACCACUUAGUAUCUCUGAAUUGUAUCUCUCAAUUGCUUUAAGUAAAACAAACAAGCAAACAAACAAAACAACAAAAACCAAGCCAAAACAAACAAACAAAAAACCACUUGUUUUUGAUAUUUGAAGAAGUUGUGCUUAAGACAAGAUGAGUUCUUUUAAAACAAAUAUGAAUAGUUUAUGUAUUUCCUUAUCUAUGCUAUUUUUUCUUUUCAUUCUUGAUUCUUAAAAAAGUACUGAAGGCAACGUCUUUCUAACAGCUUCUUUCUGUCCCUAGAUAAGUCCAGUUGGUUUUGCUAGUAUAUAAUAACAUGCCAGUAAAAUGAGGAUUCGUGUAUUUCGCCCUAUUUUUUAAGCCAAUUCAUUGCACUCUAAUGGAAUGACAUAAAAAAUGGCCUUUAAUUGAAUAAUUUAUUAUGCCAUUUGUUUUUUUCUUAAACUCAAAUGCAGAAGUAGUACUUAAUCAAUUUCCUGCUUAUUACUGCAACCAAAGGGCUGCAUAGUUAUAUGGCAGACCUAUUAGGGAGUGUUUAUAUAUUUUUUAGGGAAACAUUUAUAAUGUUAUUAUAUAAUAUUGUUCUUUGUUCUAAAGCUGCAUUUCAUAUAUACAUGCAUCCUAAACUACACCAUUUUUUCUUUAGAUACGGUUGAUUGCGUGGUAGAUAAUCUCAAAUUUCAGCAUAAUCAUGAAUCAUACUUAGGUUAAGGCAAUUGGUUUAAUGCAAUAAUUUUUCUCCCCCAAAGCAUCUCUUUAAACAACUAAUUUUCCCAGGCUUCUGUUUCAUGUAAACUGUCACUUGACUGUUUAUCAAUGCUUCUUUGUCCUCAUAAGAUCUGUACUCUAUUUCUUUCUAAAUUCCCAAGGUAUCUGCUUGGUUUUCGCCCUUAUCCCCCAACAUUGGGAUGUCAGAAUAACAAUCAAUUCUGAUACUCCAUUGUGUUUUUUCCGCAAUGCCUAGCAUGAGAAGUCUCAGGCAUUCAAUAAACACUUGUGGAUUGAUUGAUCUAAUCCUCAACUCCUCUCGGAGUUUAACCUAAGGAAGACUCUGAAUGAAUCAAAGGCCCCCCAUGGAUUCCUUAUCCUGUCAGUUAGGUUUGGAGUGUGUGCAGUAGGUGUGGCAAAAAUAUUCAGUGAUCAAAAGAAUACUUUCUAUUAUGGAAAAGCAAUUUGGGAAACUUGGUUUUACUGCAGGAUAAUUAGAGAUGUGAGCUCUUAGAAUCAUAAAUGGAUUUGAAUGCUAACUCCUCCCCCACUGGCUCUUUGGCUUGAGGCAAACUAUUUGACCUCUAGGUUUCUUCCUUUGUAAAAGGACCCCAUAAUAACACCUACUCCUCAGGGUUAUAGAUUUUAAGAGUUAUCUGUAAAAGUAACUGUCGGCUAUAUAUAGAACUGUGAUGGCAGCUAUAUAUAGAAGUGUGAAAUCCAGAUGAGUGUAAUAACUUACAAGAUCCUAUACAAGAGAGGUUGAGGUUUUCAGGUUGUUGGGGGAUUUGCAGUUACCUGAGGACUGUUUUAGAGGGUGGGUUCCAGGAUGUUUGGAAAUCCCUGUAUCUCGUGAGAAGAGGGGACGUUCACACAUUUCUCAUGAUAAAAUAAAUAUUUGGUAAUGUUAACAACUGGUUGCAAAUAUAUUAAAAAAAUAAUUAUGAACAUAGCCUAGAAAUUUACCUAGGCUAAUUUGCAUCAGUGUUAAGGGUCCCCAAACACAUAGAAUUAUACUAUACCUAGAUAAAAGGAUUGAUUAUGAAAUCACAUGCUUCCGUUUAUUUUGUGGCUGAUACGUGGUUCAGACAUCAAGCUCUUGAAUAACAGUUUUUCAUUUCUCUUCCUGUCAGUGACUUCAUUUGAACAAUAGCCUUGUGCAGCAUACGGCUUUCAGUAUAUAUUAAACCAUGACAAUCGAGUAAACAUACCAACCAAACUACUGUCUUGCAGUGUAGGGAACCUACAAAGAUGUGAUGAUUUGGAUUUUGUUUCAACACUUUUUCAAUUAAUGGCUUACAGAUAAAUACAGAACAAAACAAA